rnacentral:rRNA from 1 species
AGCGAACGCUGGCGGCAGGCUUAACACAUGCAAGUCGAACGGGCAUAGCAAUAUGUCAGUGGCAGACGGGUGAGUAACGCGUGGGAACGUACCUUUUGGUUCGGAACAACACAGGGAAACUUGUGCUAAUACCGGAUAAGCCCUUGCGGGGAAAGAUUUAUCGCCGAAAGAUCGGCCCGCGUCUGAUUAGCUAGUUGGUAGGGUAAUGGCCUACCAAGGCGACGAUCAGUAGCUGGUCUGAGAGGAUGAUCAGCCACAUUGGGACUGAGACACGGCCCAAACUCCUACGGGAGGCAGCAGUGGGGAAUAUUGGACAAUGGGCGAAAGCCUGAUCCAACCAUGCCGCGUGAGUGAUGAAGGCCCUAGGGUUGUAAAGCUCUUUUGUGCGGGAAGAUAAUGACGGUACCGCAAGAAUAAGCCCCGGCUAACUUCGUG